CAAGGCUUGACAUGGGCCGGACCGGGCUGGAAACAGUCCUUCCCCUUUGGGGCCGGUUCACAGGUGGUGCAUGGUUGUCGUCAGCUCGUGUCGUGAGAUGUUGGGUUAAGUCCCGCAACGAGCGCAACCCUCGUUCCAUGUUGCCAGCGCGUAAUGGCGGGGACUCAUGGGAGACUGCCGGGGUCAACUCGGAGGAAGGUGGGGAUGACGUCAAGUCCUCAUGGCCCUUACGGGCUGGGCUACACACGUGCUACAAUGGUGGUGACAGUGGGACGCGAAGGCGCGAGCCGGAGCAAAUCUCCAAAAGCCAUCUCAGUUCGGAUUGCACUCUGCAACUCGAGUGCAUGAAGGUGGAAUCGCUAGUAAUCGUGGAUCAGCACGCCACGGUGAAUA
rnacentral:rRNA from 1 species